UACGUAGGGUGCGAGCGUUAAUCGGAAUUACUGGGCGUAAAGGGCGCGUAGGCGGCGUGUCAAGUCGAUUGUGAAAUCUCCGGGCUUAACUCGGAACGGCCAAUCGAUACUGACGUGCUAGAGUGCAGAAAGGGCAAUCGGAAUUCUUGGUGUAGCGGUGAAAUGCGUAGAUAUCAAGAGGAACACCUGAGGCGAAGGCGGGUUGCUAGGCUGACACUGACGCUGAGUGCGCGAAAGCCAGGGGAGCAAACGGG
rnacentral:rRNA from 1 species